UGGUGCAUGGUUGUCGUCAGCUCGUGUCGUGAGAUGUGGGUUAAGUCCCGCAACGAGCGCAACCCUUAUUGUUAGUUGCCAUCAUUUAGUUGGGCACUCUAGCAAGACUGCCGGUGACAAACCGGAGGAAGGUGGGGAUGACGUCAAAUCAUCAUGCCCCUUAUGACCUGGGCUACACACGUGCUACAAUGGACGGUACAAUGAGUCGCAAGACCGCGAGGUUUAGCUAAUCUCUUAAAGCCGUUCUCAGUUCGGAUUGUAGGCUGCAACUCGCCUACAUGAAGCCGGAAUCGCUAGUAAUCGUGGAUCAGCACGCCACGGUGAAUACGUUCCCGGGCCUUGUACACACCGCCCGUCACACCACGAGAGUUUGUAACACCCAAAGUCGGUGAGGUAACCUUUUGGAGCCAGCCGCCUAAGGUGGGAUAGAUGAUUGGGGUGAAGUCGUAACAAGGUAACCAAGGGCGAAUUCUG
rnacentral:rRNA from 1 species